GGGGUUGUGGCUCAAGUGGUAGAGUGCUCGCCUAGCACAUGUGAGGCACUGGGUUCGAUCCUCAGCACCACA
rnacentral:tRNA from 1 species